rnacentral:rRNA from 1 species
GGGGGGGGGGGGGGGGGGGGCGGGGGGGGGGGGGGCGAGGGAGGGCUGCGGGUGGGGGGGCGCACGGGUGCGUACCGCGGGGGCACCUGCCCGUAGGGUCGGGAUAGCUCCGCGAAAGGGGUGCUAAUACCGGAUAAUGUCUUCGGCCCAAAGAUUUAUCGCCUUUGGAUGGGCCCGCGUUGGAUUAGCUAGUUGGUAGGGUAAAAGCCUCCCAAGGCGACGAUCCAUAGCUGGUCUGAGAGGAUGAUCAGCCACACUGGGACUGAGACACGGCCCAGACUCCUACGGGAGGCAGCAGUGGGGAAUAUUGGACAAUGGGCGAAAGCCUGAUCCAGCAAUGCCGCGUGAGUGAUGAAGGCCUUAGGGUUGUAAAGCUCUUUUACCCGGGAUGAUAAUGACAGUACCGGGAGAAUAAGCUCCGGCUAACUCCGUG